GGGGUGCACCAGGCGCGAAAACUUUACAAUGCCGGCAACGGCGAUAAGGGAACCUCGAGUGCCAGGUUACAAAUCUGGCUGUCGUGAUGCCUAAAAAGCAUUGCAUAGCAAGGGCCGGGCAAGACCGGUGCCAGCCGCCGCGGUAACACCGGCGGCUCGAGUGGUAACCGUUAUUAUUGGGUCUAAAGGGUCUGUAGCCGGCCGGGUAAGUCUCUUGGGAAAUCUGGCAGCUUAACUGUCAGGCUUUCAGGAGAUACUGCCUGGCUCGAGGCCGGGAGAGGUGAGAGGUACUUCAGGGGUAGGGGUGAAAUCUUGUAAUCCUUGAAGGACCACCAGUGGCGAAGGCGUCUCACCAGAACGGACCUGACGGCAAGGGACGAAAGCUAGGGGCACGAACCGGAUUAGAUACCCGGGUAGUCCUAGCCGUAAACGAUACUCGCUAGGUGUCGGCCACGGUGCGACCGUGGUCGGUGCCGUAGGGAAGCCGUGAAGCGAGCCACCUGGGAAGUACGGCCGCAAGGCUGAAACUUAAAGGAAUUGGCGGGGGAGCACAAGGGCGAUUCGCGG
rnacentral:rRNA from 1 species